AGGCCCGUAGCACAGGUGCUGCAUGGCCGUCGUCAGCUCGUGCCGUGAGGUGUUGGGUUAAGUCCCGCAACGAGCGCAACCCCCGCCGUUAGUUGCUAGCGGUUCGGCCGGGCACUCUAACGGGACUGCCCGCGAAAGCGGGAGGAAGGAGGGGACGACGUCUGGUCAGCAUGGCCCUUACGGCCUGGGCGACACACGUGCUACAAUGCCCACUACAAAGCGAGGCCACCCGGCAACGGGGAGCUAAUCGCAAAAAGGUGGGCCCAGUUCGGAUCGGAGUCUGCAACUCGACUCCGUGAAGUUGGAUUCGCUAGUAAUCGCGCAUCAGCCAUGGCGCGGUGAAUACGUUCCCGGGCCUU
rnacentral:rRNA from 1 species